GACGAACGCUGGCGGCGUGCUUAACACAUGCAAGUCGAACGGAGUGGCGAACGGGUGAGUAAAACGUUGGUGACCUGCCCUGCACUUUGGGAUAAGACUGGGAAACUGGGUCUAAUACCGGCUAGUGUGGGAUGGGCGCGCGGCCUAUCAGCUGGUUGGUGGGGGAAUGGCCUACCAAGUCGGCGGCGGGUAGCCGGCCUGAGAGAGUGGACGGCCACAGUGGGACUAAGGCACGGCCCAGACGCGAACUGGAGGCAGCAGUGGAGAAUAUUGCACAAGGGGCGGACGCGUGAGGAAGCGACUCCGGGUGGGUGAUGACGGCCUGCGGGUUGUAAACUCCUUUCAGCAUAGACGCGGUAGAUGGAGAAGAAGCACCGGCUAACUACGUGCCAGCAGCCGCGGUAAUUC
rnacentral:rRNA from 1 species